rnacentral:tRNA from 1 species
GUCGCUUUGGCCGAGUGGUUAAGGCGAUUGACUAGAAAUCAAUUCCCUCCGGGGGCAUAGGUUCGAGUCCUAUAGGCGACG